GCAUCGAUGAAGAACGCAGCGAAAUGCGAUACGUAAUGUGAAUUGCAGAAUUCCGUGAAUCAUCGAAUCUUUGAACGCACAUUGCGCCCCUUGGUAUUCCAGGGGGCAUGCCUGUUUGAGCGUCAUUU
rnacentral:rRNA from 1 species